rnacentral:rRNA from 1 species
UGGUCAAGUUAUUAAGGGUGCAGGGCGGAUGCCUUGGCACUAGGAGCCGAUGAAGGACGUGAUAAGCUGCGAUAAGCUUCGGGGAGUUGCACGUAAACUUUGAUCCGAAGAUUUCCGAAUGAGGAAACUCACUUAGAGUAAUGUCUAAGUAUCAUUAAGUGAAUACAUAGCUUAAUGAGGGGAACUCAGGGAACUGAAACAUCUAAGUACCUGAAGGAAGAGAAAGAAAUUCGAUUCCGUAAGUAGCGGCGAGCGAACGCGGAUUAGCCCAAACCAAUAAAGUUUUCUUUAUUGGGGUUGCGGACAUAUCAUAACGAAGAGGUAUCGUAAUUGAAGAGGUUUGGAAAGACCCACCACAGAAGGUAAUAGUCCUGUAUGUUAAACGAGAAGACUUCAGAUAUGAUCCAGAGUACCACGGGACACGUGAAACCCUGUGGGAAGCAGGAGGGACCACCCUCCAAGGCUAAAUACUACCUAGUGACCGAUAGCGUAUAGUACCGUGAGGGAAAGGUGAAAAGAACCCCGGGAGGGGAGUGAAAUAGAACCUGAAACCCUGCACUUACAAGCUGUGGAAGCACAUUUCUUGUGUGACCGCGUACUUUUUGUAGAACGGGCCAACGAGUUACGUUAAGUAGCAAGGUUAAGCACUUAAGGUGCGGAGCCGUAGCGAAAGCGAGUUUUAACUGAGCGUUCAGUUACUUGACGUAGACCCGAAACCGGGCGACCUACCCAUGAGCAGGAUGAAGCGAAAGUAAAAUUUCGUGGAGGUCCGAACCCACGAGCGUUGAAAAGCUCGGGGAUGACUUGUGGAUAGCGGUGAAAUUCCAAUCGAGCCCGGAGAUAGCUGGUUCUCCCCGAAAUAGCUUUAGGGCUAGCCUCAAGGUGAGAGAUACGGAGGUAGAGCACUGAAUGUCCUAGGGGGUAUUGCACCUACCGAAGACUAUCAAACUCCGAAUGCCGUCAUCUUAUACUUGGGAGUCAGACUGUGGGUGAUAAGAUUCAUAGUCGAAAGGGCAACAGCCCAGAUCGUCAGCUAAGGUCCCUAAAUGUAAGUUAAGUGGUAAAGGAUGUGGGAUUGCACAGACAACCAGGAUGUUGGCUUAGAAGCAGCCACUCAUUCAAAGAGUGCGUAAUAGCUCACUGGUCGAGUGAUCCUGCGCCGAAGAUUUCCGGGGCUAAAACUUACUACCGAAGCUACGGCAUCAGUAAUGAUGGGUAGGGGAGCUUCCCAUACGGGUUGAAGCGUGACCGUAAGGACAUGUGGACAGUAUGGGAGUGAGAAUGUUGGCAUGAGUAGCGAGAUGUGGGUGAGAAUCCCACAGGCCGUAAACCCAAGGUUUCCAGGGGAAGGUUCGUCCGCCCUGGGUUAGUCGGGACCUAAGCUGAGGCCGAAAGGCGUAGGUGAUGGACAACAGGUUGAUAUUCCUGUACUACCGAUAACCGUUUGAGAGAAGGGAUGACACAGUAGGAUAAGCUAAGCACACUGUUGGUUAUGUGUGCCCAAGCAUUGAGGCAGUCAAAGUAGGCAAAUCCGCUUUGAUAAUGCUGGGAUGUGAUGGGGAGCGAAAUUUAGUAGCGAAGUAGCUGAUUUCACACUGUCAAGAAAAGUCUCUAUCGAGGUUAAAGGUACCCGUACCGCAAACCGACACAGGUGGGUGAGGAGAGUAUCCUAAGGCCAGCGAGAGAACUGUUGUUAAGGAACUCGGCAAAAUGACCCCGUAACUUAGGGAUAAGGGGUGCCACCAUCAGGUGGCCGCAGAGAAUAGGCCCAAGCGACUGUUUACCAAAAACAUAGGUUUCUGCUAAGUCGCAAGACGAUGUAUAGGAGCUGACGCCUGCCCGGUGCUGGAAGGUUAAGGGGAUCUGUUAGAGCAAUCGAAGCAGUGAACUUAAGCCCCAGUAAACGGCGGCCGUAACUAUAACGGUCCUAAGGUAGCGAAAUUCCUUGUCGGGUAAGUUCCGACCCGCACGAAAGGCGUAACGAUUUGGGCACUGUCUCAACAACAGACUCGGUGAAAUUGUAAUUCCGGUGAAGAUGCCGGAUACCUGCGACAGGACGGAAAGACCCCAUGGAGCUUUACUGUAGCUUGACAUUGGGUCUUGGUACUACAUGUACAGGAUAGGUGGGAGGCUUUGAAACCAGGACGCCAGUUUUGGCGGAGCCAUCCUUGGGAUACCACCCUUGUAGUACUGGGACUCUAACCAUAGGCCAUGAAUCUGGUCUUGGGACACUGUCAGGUGGGCAGUUUGACUGGGGCGGUCGCCUCCCAAAAGGUAACGGAGGCGCUCAAAGGUUCUCUCAGUACGGUCGGAAAUCGUACGUAGAGUGUAAAGGCAAAAGAGAGCUUGAUUGCAAGACAUACAGGUCGAGCAAGGAUGAAAAUCGGACUUAGUGAUCCGGUGGUUCUGCGUGGAAGGGCCAUCGCUCAACGGAUAAAAGCUACCCUGGGGAUAACAGGCUUAUCUCCCCCAAGAGUCCACAUCGACGGGGAGGUUUGGCACCUCGAUGUCGGCUCAUCACAUCCUGGGGCUGUAGUAGGUCCCAAGGGUUGGGCUGUUCGCCCAUUAAAGUGGUACGCGAGCUGGGUUCAGAACGUCGUGAGACAGUUCGGUCCCUAUCCGUCGCAGGCGUAGGAAAUUUGAGAAGACCUGUCCUUAGUACGAGAGGACCGGGAUGGACGUACCUCUGGUGUACCAGUUGUUCUGCCAAGGGCAUGGCUGGGUAGCUAUGUACGGAAUGGAUAAGCGCUGAAAGCAUCUAAGCGCGAAGCCAACUUCAAGAUAAGAUUUCCCACCGCAAGGGUAAGACCCCAGAAAGACUAUCUGGUUGAUAGGUCGAAGGUGUAAGUGCAGCAAUGUAUUUAGCUUAUCGAUACUAAUAGGUCGAGGACUUGACCAAU